UGUAAAAUCCUUUUCCGGUCGAUCAGGACGGACUCUAGCCUGGGAAUAAGCGUCGGCUAACUACGUGCCAGCAGCCCGCGGUAACACGUAUGACGCGAGCGUAAUCCGGAUCCACUGGGCGUAAAGCGCCUGCAUGCGGUCAGGUACGUCGGUUGUGAAAGCCCCGUGCUCAACGCGGGGAGGCCAAGCGAUACUGCGUGACUUGAGGGCGGACGAGGGGAGUGGAAUUCCCGGAGUAACGGUAAAAUGCGCAGAUAUCGGGAGGAACACCAGUGGCGAAGACGGCUCCCUGGACCGCACCUGACGCUCAGAGCCGAAAGCUAGGGGAGCGAACAGGAUUAGAGACCCUGGUAGUCCUAGCCCUAAACGCUGGAUGCUAGGUGUAGGGCUGAUGAGGCUCUGUGCCGGAGCGAACGCGAUAAGCAUCCCGCCUGGGAACUACGGCCGCAAGGCUAAAACUCAAACGAAUUGACGGGGACCCGCACAAGCAGCGGAGCGUGUGGUUUAAGUCGAUGCUACACGAAGAACCUUACCUGGGUUUGACAUGUUGGUGGUACCGAACCGAAAGGGGAGGGACCAUUCGGGGAGCCAACACAGGUGAUGCAUGGCUGUCGUCGGCUCGUGCCGUGAGGUGUCGGGUUAAGUCCCGUAACGAGCGCAACCCUUGCUGUUAGUUAUACGUGUCUAAGGGGACUGCCGGCGACAAGCCGGAGGAAGGUGGGGACGACGUCAAGUCAGCAUGGCCUUGAUAUCCAGGGCUACACACACGCUACAAUGGCCGGUACAAAGGGCAGCCAAGCCGCGAGGUGGAGCGAAUCCCAGCAAAGCCGCUCCCAGUUCGGAUUGCAGGCCUGCAACCCGCCUGCAUGAAGUUGGAGUUGCUAGUAACCGCGCGUCAGCCAUAGUGCGGUGCAUACGUACCCGGGUCUUGUACACACCGCCCGUCACGUCAUGGGAGUUGGCAACGCCUG
rnacentral:rRNA from 1 species